GUCAGCCCCACAUUGAUCACUUGAACAGGGGAAGACUGAAUCGUUAUCAAAGAAGAGUUGAAUUCUAUCAAGGGGCCAGGAGUGUAGGACAGCAAACAAAAACAGCCCAAAUGAGACAGCUUUGAACUUCCUGAAACACUUUUAGAAGAACAAGUCUUCUGUAUCCUAUAAGAAGGAAAAGACAGUAGAAUUUGUUUCCAGAUUUUAUCUAACAUAAGAAGGCCCUCAGGGAACUGUAGCAUA
rnacentral:lncRNA from 1 species